rnacentral:lncRNA from 1 species
CAGAGAUACACAAUCACUAAAUACAAACAUAAGAACAUUUGAGCUUCUAGCAGUUAGUGGGCAUUUCCAUCCAAUUUAACCACAGAAGUCAAUAAAAGGACUUACUAUUAAAUAUUAAGGAUAGAAACCAAAUUGUGGCAAUUGAUAGGUUGAUAACCUAGGUGAGAACUCCUAGAAAAAGUUGAGGACCCUGGUGGAUCUCACCAAAGACUUUAAAAGUCGAAUUAGAAGAAUUAGAAGGCUACUUGACCUGUAGAUAGACGCAAACUUAUUGAAGAUUGUUAACAACAUUACAUGAUCUAUUGCAACAGACUGAAACAGAUGAACAACAACCUAAUUUUACUUGGCAAAAUAAAUUUCAAGUUUUAAGAUUGGAAAUAAGUUGUAAAUAAUAGUACAUUAUGUUCCAGCUUUAAAAACUAAAUCGUUUAUUCUACGUUUAUUCUAUGAAUCAUGAUUUGUCUAGAAAGUACCACAGCAAACAUCUCAAAACCAGAAUUAGCAGGACAUUUAGCCAAUAACUUUAUUCUUAACUCGGUACUUUUAAGAUAGCUCUUUUCAGUGAUACUACAUUAGCCAAGAUACAUGCGGCUUACUAUGGCAGCACUGCUAUUUUCUUCAUUCACUAUAUACAAAUUAUCCAAGUAUUGUAAUUAAAGGCCAACAACAUACAUACAAUUUAAACAAGGCAAAAAUGUAUGAAGACCUGCUCAACUGUAACCCCUUCCUCCCNCAACUGCUCUGUUUAAUAAGUUAAAUUUUUUCCUGCAACUAACUUGGGUGACAUGGAAUGUGGUUACCUGCAUGGUAAGAAGCUCAUUACGAUGAGUUCCAAUUCACCAGUCAUCAUUGGCCUGCAUCAGGAGGUUGCUGAGCAUGGACUGCAGCUUGUCGCCUCUGACGUUCCCGCAAGUAAAGAACAGUCAAGAGGCAAGCAAAGAGGGUUAAUAUUGUUGCAUUGCCUUCGUCAAGGAUUACAUCCUCCACCCAUUCCUCGAUCCUUGGGUAAACCUCCGGGAGUGAAUCGAUCAGAUUAACCUGCUUAAUGGUGAGAAAUUCUUUAUGUUUUCUACCAAAAAAAUCAAGGAUAGAUUGCACCAGGGUUCCUCAACCUUUCUGUAGCUUCAGUUUGGCCACAACCUUUUAUUGUCAUAAUUCAGUCCCUAACUUUCACAAAGCAAUCUUACCGGGCUUUUUUUGCAUUUAGCCCCCUAAAAAAAAUUUAUUUUAAAAAUAGCCCCAGCAAAUUUAUAUUUGAACUUUUGGCCCUCACCCUACCACGCAGACCCCACGUCAGCACCACGCGAGCGGGGCUGGGCCAGGGUGGUAAGUUGAACACGGUUAACCAUUCACCGUGUCCAAACACGGUAAAUGAUUUACCGCAUCUAGAGAAAAUACAAAUAUGUGUUUUUCGCAAUAUAAAUAUUAAAAAGAGGAAGAGGGAGUAGGGUUGUCAAUGGGCAUGGAUACCCGAAAUAUUACCCGAACCCAAACCCGAAUAAAUUAUUUAGAUACAUAAUUUAUUUUUAUUUAUUUAUACAAUAUAUAAAAUAUUUAAUAAUUUUUAUCCCUUAGAUCUUCAUCCAACGAUAUGAAUUUUUAAAACCCGCCGGGUUCGGAUUCGGGCCCGGGUUCGAGUUUCGGGUUUUUGGUCGAGUAUGAAUAUGGGUAUGGAUUUUUAAAACACAUCGGAUUUGGAUCCGAGUUCGGGUUUUAAUUUGAUUUUCAGGUUCGGGUUCGGGUUCGGGUUUUUGAAAAGGAGAAGAAGAGAAAUAUAAAUAUGAAACACGGUGAACCAUUCACCGUGUUCAACUUGCAAAACAGACUCCCAGCUCGCCCACGUGGCGCUUGCAUGGCGCCUGCGUGGCAGGGAUAGGGCCAUUUUUGCAAUUAUAAAUUUGUUGGGGCUAGUUUUAAAAUAAAAUUUUUUCAGGGGGCCAUUUGCAAAAAAAGCCCAAUCUUACCCUUUUAAUUGAAUUCCUCCAUCAUAUUAUAUUAGACAGAGAUACACAAUCACUAACUACAAACAUAAGAAACAUUUGAGCUUCUAGCAGUUAGUGGGCAUUUCCAUCCAAUUUAACCACAUAAGUCAAUAAAAGGACUUACUAUUAAAUAUUAAGGAUAGAAACCAAAUUGUGGCAAUUGAUAGGUUGAUAACCUAGGUGAGAACUCCUAGAAAAAGUUGAGGAUCCCUGGUGGAUCUCACCAAAGACUUUAAAAGUCGAAUUAGAAGAAUUAGAAGGCUACUUGACCUGUAGAUAGACGCAGACUUAUUGAAGAUUGUUAACAACAUUACAUGAUCUAUUGCAAGAGACUGAAACAGAUGAACAACAACCUAAUUUUACUUGGCAAAAUAAAUUUGAAGUUUUAAGAUUGGAAAGAAGUUGUAAAUAAUAGUACAUUAUGUUCCAGCUUUAAAAACUAAAUCGUUUAUUCUAUGAAUCAUGAUUUGUCUAGAAAGUACCACAGCAAACAUCUCAAAACCAGAAUUAGCAGGACAUUUAGCUAAUAACUUUAUUCUUAACUCGGUACUUUUAAGAUAGCUCUUUUCAGUGAUACUACAUUAGCCAAGAUAAAUGCGGCUUACUAUGGCAGCACUGCUAUUUUCUUCAUUCACUAUAUACAAAUUAUCCAAGUAUUGU